rnacentral:rRNA from 1 species
CCUACGGGAGGCUGCCGUGGGGAAUAUUGGACAAUGGGCGAAAGCCUGAUCCAGCCAUGCCGCGUGUGUGAAGAAGGCCUUCGGGUUGUAAAGCACUUUCAGUGGGGAAGAAAGCCUUGGGGCUAAUACCCUCGAGGAAGGACAUCACCCACAGAAGAAGCACCGGCUAACUCCGUGCCAGCAGCCGCGGUAAUACGGAGGGUGCGAGCGUUAAUCGGAAUUACUGGGCGUAAAGCGCGCGUAGGCGGUCUGAUAAGCCGGUUGUGAAAGCCCCGGGCUCAACCUGGGAACGGCAUCCGGAACUGUCAGGCUAGAGUGCAGGAGAGGAAGGUAGAAUUCCCGGUGUAGCAGUGAAAUGCGUAGAGAUCGGGAGGAAUACCAGUGGCGAAGGCGGCCUUCUGGACUGACACUGACGCUGAGGUGCGAAAGCGUGGGUAGCAAACAGGAUUAGAUACCCGGGUAGUC